CGGGAAUUGAUGCCAUUUUUAAGCAUUGGUUGCAACAAUUCUACGACAAAAAUCACAAAUACAUGUGCCCAUAAUACGAAAUAAUGUUGUAUUAAUUCAACUAAUGAAAUAAAAAUUAGAUGGCUAGAAAAGACAUCCGGUUGGAAUUAGUAAAACUGCCAAUAAUUGAAUUAUUAUCGGCCGAACAACACGGUAAAAUUUUUUCUCAGCGAGGAAAAUAUUUUGUUGAAGUCCUCGUUUGUGCAACAAUCACCGAAGCAUCAGGUAGCAAACUCGAUACGUUUAUAAAAUACACAAUUGAUGAUGGUACAAGUUGUAUGGACUGUUUUGUCCCACCAGGACUAACUAAUGUUACAAAAACUGCAAAGAAUAAUUCAAAUAUGACCCAAUCUACAGAUUCAAAUGAUACAAAAUUUGCAUCCAGUCAGCUUGAACACAAGCCUGCUCCGAAUUUUCAACUUGGAGAUACAUUAUUUGUCUGGGGAAAGUUGAGAGUUUUUCCCAAUGAUAAUAUAAGAAAGUUGUUUGCCACAAAAAUCCAGAAAUGUUACAAGUUGGAAGAAAGAAUUAAUUACUGGGAACAAGUUUUGUAAUAAUUGAUAAAAUAAAUGGUUUUCUUUUGUUA